UGUUUACUUAAAGUUAUAUAGGAAUUUUAGUAUGUUAAUGGAGCACGGUUCUUGUUAUUUAAGAGUUAUUUGUAAAAUGUUACUACACAAUUUGAAGAAUCUUUAAAAAUUUAGUAUAUAGUAAAUAGGUUCACCAUUUCAAGACGAAAAACGGGUUGUUCUCCUAAUAAAAUUGAAAGGUAGCGAGACACUCCAUCAAGUCAGCAAUACAGUUAAUAGAUAAAAGCAAAUAGAGAUGCGGAAAUAAAAAGUUAACUUUACACUAAAAAAAAAACACGGAAGAAACUAAAUGAUUAGUAGUUAUGUUCUGCGUAUAGAAUACAUAACAUGAUAUAAUUCAUUUUCAUUCCCCCC
rnacentral:lncRNA from 1 species